AAAUAGCCACAACCAGGUUGAUGGAUGUUGAAUGUUCCACUUCUGAGCUAAGAUAAACAUACCGUGGAUUACAACCAAACAAGCAGAACAGCUUUAAUGGGAGUGAUUCCCUAAAUCAUCUAAUGGGAGUGAAGCAAAAGAGAAGGACCAAAAUUAUGACUAUGUGAACAGUCUCCCACCCAUCAGAAGCCCUCCUGUGAACUGCAUUUUCAGGCAUCCACUGGAGUCUUGGAAUGUAUCCCCACAGAUAAGGGGGUUCCCUUGAAGAAGAAAUUAUGUUUCUAUUCCCUUACUUGAAUGUAAGACCACCGUGAAGAUACACUGAAAAUCUAGCACCCUGGAGGAGUAUAAAAUCCUAUUCAGUUGCUAAUCUUCCUGUCAUGGAAGUUGCUUGCCAGCUCUAAUUUUGAGUGAACACAUUAAGCACAAUGGUGAAAAUGUCAAUUAAAA